rnacentral:tRNA from 1 species
GAGCCCGUGGCUCAGUGGUAGAGCGUUCGGUUCACAUCCGAAAGGUCGAUGGUUCAAAUCCAUCCGGGCUCA